UAGGGAAUAUUAGAAAUGGACGAAAGUCUGAUCUAGCAACACCGCGUGUGCGAAGAAGGCCUUCGGGUUGUAAAGCACUUUUUGGAAGGAUUAGGAAGGAAUGUACUUCCAGAAUAAGUCUCGGCUAACUACGUGCCAGCAGCCGCGGUAACACGUAGGAGGCAAACGUUAUCCGGAUUUACUGGGCGUAAAGCGCGUGUAGGUGGUUCUGUAAGUAGGGCGUGAAAGCUCCUGGCUCAACUGGGAGAGGCCGUUCUAAACUGCAGAGCUAGAGGACUGUAGAGGGAAGUGGAAUUCCGUGUGUAGCGGUGGAAUGCGCAGAUAUGCGGAAGAACACCAGUGGCGAAAGCGGCUCCCUGGAUCAUUACUGACGCUCAGGCGAGAAAGCGAGGGUAGCAAACA
rnacentral:rRNA from 1 species